ensembl:snRNA U6 U6 spliceosomal RNA
CUACCAUACAGAGAAGAUUAGCAUGGCCCGGUGCAAGGAUAACAUGCAAAUUCAUGAAGUGUUCCAUAUUUUA